UGCGGGAAACUGCCGGUAAUACCGGAUAAUGUCUCCGGACCAAAGGUGUAAUUCCGUCUGAGGAUGGGUCUGCGUCCUAUUAGCUUGAUGGUGGGGUAACGGCCUACCAUGGCGAUUAUGGGUAACGGGUGUGAGAGCAUGGCCCGUGUCACUGGGACUGAGACACUGCCCAGACACCUACGGGUGGCUGCAGUCGAGGAUCUUCGGCAAUGGGCGCAAGCCUGACCGAGCGACGCCGCGUGCGGGAUGAAGGCUUUCGGGUUGUAAACCGCUGUCGGAGGGGAUGAAAUGCAUGGGGGUUCUCUCCCAUGUUUGACAAAUCCUCGGAGGAAGUACGGGCUAAGUUCGUGCCAGCAGCCGCGGUAAGACGGACCGUACAAACGUUAUUCGGAAUCACUGGGCUUAAAGGGUGCGUAGGCGGCACGGCAAGUUGGGUGUGAAAUCCCUCGGCUCAACCGAGGAAUUGCGCCCAAAACUGCCGCGCUCGAGGGAGAUAGAGGUGGGCGGAACUUAGGGUGGAGCGGUGAAAUGCGUUGAUAUCCUAAGGAACACCUGUGGCGAAAGCGGCUCACUGGGUCUCUUCUGACGCUGAGGCACGAAAGCUAGGGGAGCAAACGGGAUUAGAUACCCCGGUAGUCCUAGCUGUAAACGAUGAGCACUGGGCCGGAGGGUCCUCCAUAGCCUUCCGGCCGAAGCGAAAGUGGUUAGUGCUCCGCCUGGGGAGUAUGGUCGCAGGCUGAACUCAAGGAAUUGACGGGGGCUCACACAAGCGGUGGAGGAUGUGGCUUAAUUCGAGGCUACGCGAAGAACCUUAUCCUGGCCUUGACAUGCAC
rnacentral:rRNA from 1 species